UGGAGCGAUCACAUCCAACCUGAAGAUCAGGAGAAACUGGAGCCCUCCUGAGGACAGAGCCCUUGAAUUAGAUACAGAAAGGAGGGGUAUAAAUCCUGCCUUCUCUCAGCCUUACAGAGGAAGAAAACCCUUUCCAAGUUUCCUCUGAUACUGGGUUUAUGCCCAAUUAUAGUUUAGGCAUGAAGAAACUGAAGCAUGGAGGAAAAACUUAGCAACUAGCCCAACGUCACACAGGCAAGCCAGCCUUGACAAUGUGCUGAUGGCAACCUAGAACAUAAGCAGAGGAGUAUACAGGACAAGAACUUGAUGGUCUCGGGAA
rnacentral:lncRNA from 10 species